AUGGAUGAAUGGAGGGUUGGAGUUGAUGUCUCUUUCUCUCCCCCAACAGAGGUGAUCGUGUCAGGUGAGUUUUGCAGUGAGGACGGCGAUGAGGAGCUUGACGGCCUCUGGGCCACCAUCUCGGUCUUCAUCACCCUCUUCCUUCUGAGCGUGUGCUACAGUGCCACCGUGACCCUGUUCAAGGUGAAGUGGCUUUUCUCCACUGUGGUGCAACUGAGGCGUGCAAGGGGCCCCGAAUACAAGAACGUGAUCCAGCGCGUGGUGUAGGGGAGGCUGCCCCCGUCCGCCCGGAGACAAGGGGCCGGGACUCCCGGCUCUAUUGGUGACACCACCCUGAGUCCCACAGCUGCCCCCCACCACUGCUGUGCCUCUGGGAGACCCCCCUGGGGGAAGCGAGGAGCUCACCCCACAUGGCCUAAUCAGCACUUAGCCCCUGGGGACGCUGCCCUGCUGGGAGCUGGGCUGAGACCGGACAACUUGUACCAUGCAGGGAACCAGCGCCCCUAGCAAGGAAACAACCUGAGUGCCACUUCCCACCUUCCUGAGCCCAACAGCCCCCUGCUCUGGGACUGGAUCAGAGCCAGCAGCCCCUAGAGCAGAAAGGCUCCAUGUCCCAUUCCCCCACCCUGGGGCUAGAUUGGAGCUGGUGCCCCUUAGUGGGUAAGGGCUCUGUGCCCCAUUCCCUGUCCCCCUGAGCCAGCCAGCCCCCCACCUGGGGCUGGAUCACAAGUGGCUUUGUCUCUGUUGCUCUGAAUGUUGUGUAUUUAGCUCCCGGCUCUUUUUUGUGACUUUUGUGGUUUGCACUGAGUGACCGUAAAUAAAUAAAUAUUCAAUGCGG